rnacentral:rRNA from 1 species
GAUGAACGCUGGCGGCAUGCCUAACACAUGCAAGUCGGACGGGAAGAGGUGUUUCCCGUGGCGGUCGGGUGAGUAACGCGUAAGAAACUGCCCUUGGGCGGGGAACAACAGCUGGAUAAGGCUGCUAAUACCCCGCAGGCUGAGCAGCAAACGGAGGAAUGCGCCUGCGGGGGGGCUCGCGUCUGCUUAGCUAGUUGGUCCGGCAAUAGCUUACCUAGGCGAUGAUCAGUAGCUGGUCCGAGUGGAUGAUCGGCCACACUGCGACGGAGAGACGGAGUAGGCUACUUCGGGAGACAGGAGAAAGGAUGUUUCAGCAAUGGGCGAAGGCCUGACAAAGCAUUGCGGCGGGGAAGUAGAAUGACUAGGGAUGGAGAACUGCUUUUCCCGGAGAAGAAGCAUUGACGGUAUCUGGGGAAUAAGCAUCGGCUAACUCUGUG